GACGAACGCUGGCGGCGUCCUUAACACAUGCAAGUCGAACGGAAAUUCCCUCCUUAUUUUGGGUGCUCGACUGGCGAACAGGUGAUUAACAACUUAGUCUCCUGCCCUUGACUUUGUGAUGACUUCAGGACACUUGCGCUAAUACCGGGUAGUCUCUCCUGCUGCUUGUUGGGGGUUUGGACGUUUCGGCGGUUGUGUGUGGACUCGCGGCUUCUCAGCUUGUUGGUGGGGUAGUGGCUUACCAAGGCUUUGACGGGUAGCGGGCCUGAGAGGGUGACCGGCCACAGUGGGACUGAGAUACGGCCCAGACUCCUAGGGGAGGCAGCAGUGGGGAAUAUUGCACAAUGGGCGGAAGCCUGAUGCAGCAAAGCCGCGUGCGGGAUGAAGGACUUCGGGUUGUAAACCGCUUUCGCCUGUGACGAAGCGUGAGUGACGGUAAUGGGUAAAGAAGCACCGGCUAAAUACGUG
rnacentral:rRNA from 1 species